rnacentral:rRNA from 1 species
UACGGAAGGGGCAAGCGUUGUUCGGAAUCAUUGGGCGUAAAGGGCGCGUAGGUGGUUCUGUAUGUCUACCGUGAAAGCGUACGGCUCAACCGUAUUUUGUCGGUAGAAACUGCAGGACUUGAGGCUGGGAGGGGCUGGUGGAAUUCCCUGUGUAGCGGUGAAAUGCGCAGAUAUCAGGAGGAACACCGGUGGCGAAGGCGGGUCUCUGGGCCGAAAUUGACGCUGAGGAGCGAAAGCGUGGGGAGCAAACAGG